rnacentral:rRNA from 1 species
UACGAAGGGGGGCGAGCGUUGUUCGGAUUUAUUGGGCGUAAAGAGCGUGUAGGCGGCCAUGUAGGUCCGGUGUGAAAAACUCGAGGCUUAACCUCGAGAUGUCAUCGGAAACCAUUUGGCUAGAGUCCGGAAGAGGAGAGUGGAAUUCCUGGUGUAGCGGUGAAAUGCGCAGAUAUCAGGAAGAACACCAAUGGCGAAAGCAGCUCUCUGGGACGGUACUGACGCUGAGACGCGAAAAGCGUGGGGAGCGAACAGG